CUAAUGAAGGAAUUGCAUGGAAAAAAACACGUCUGCCUAGUGGGUGUGCACUCUUUUAUAGGGAGAGUUAAUUAGUCUGAUUUACUAAUGAUUUGUCUUCUGUCCUAGACGGGAGGAGCAAGACAUUAACCCUUUGU